GCUACUUUGCUGACGAGCGGCGGACGGGUGAGUAAUGCUUGGGGAUCUGCCCGGUCGUGGGGGAUAACCAUUGGAAACGAUGGCUAAUACCGCAUACGUCCUACGGGAGAAAGCAGGGGACUCUUCGGAGCCUUGCGCUAUUAGAUGAGCCUAGGUCGGAUUAGUUAGUUGGUGAGGUAAUGGCUCACCAAGACUGCGAUCCGUAACUGGUCUGAGAGGAUGAUCAGUCACACUGGAACUGAGACACGGUCCAGACUCCUACGGGAGGCAGCAGUGGGGAAUAUUGGACAAUGGGGGCAACCCUGAUCCAGCCAUGCCGCGUGUGUGAAGAAGGUCUUAGGAUUGUAAAGCACUUUAAGUUGGGAGGAAGGGCAGUUAACUAAUAUUUGACUGUUUUGACGUUACCGACAGAAUAAGCACCGGCUAACUUCGUGCCAGCAGCCGCGGUAAUACGAAGGGUGCAAGCGUUAAUCGGAAUUACUGGGCGUAAAGCGCGCGUAGGUGGUUCGUUAAGUUAGGAGUGAAAGCCCCGGGCUCAACCUGGGAACUGCAUUUCGAACUGGCAAACUAGAGUGUGAUAGAGGGUGGUAGAAUUUCCUGUGUAGCGGUGAAAUGCGUAGAUAUAGGAAG
rnacentral:rRNA from 1 species